UGGACUUAGCACGUAUCUUUCAACCCAACGCUGAAUCCACCCGCAACCAGAUCAUCCAUCGCUUUUUUUAAAUGGGGUAUCUGCUCAUUUAUUACAGGCGUUAAGUCGGUGAAUGCAUGUGAAAAUACUCUUGAUCAGAGCACGGUUACGCCCGGUCAGAGGAUGGAGACGUAGUCACCGAGCCCGGCGUAAAGACAACGUGAUACAGAACCCAUCGGUUCCGUUGCUCUUUUCUCUUAGUGGUAGAGGAGGCUGCAGUGCUUCGUUAUUGUGCUCGGCUGUUAGAAAGGGAACGGUGUCUUAUCCACCUCUAGUCAUUGCGCUUGCAUGUUCCGUGCUUUUUUUUCUGGAAGGGACUGAAGGCUUGGUGCGUAUUCUCUGUGUCUCUCGCGCUGUGACUCGGUGACUAGGCAAGUAGUUGACGCAAGUGUAGGCUACUUCAAGCAACAGGCGCAGCACCAGUAGUUGCAGUGACAGGUCCCUCCCUCUCCGCUGAUGCUAUGGUGCUGAAAUGGGUGCCGGCAUUUAUUUCAAUCACCUCAUUAGAACUGUGCAAUCCCGCCUUUCUACGAGGACUGAAGGAGAGUCGACUUCAAAGAAAGUGGAGCUGGGAAGAUGGAGUUGUACUUUUAUGUUUUGUGAAAAUAUGUAAAACGUAUCUAAAGGGUAAAAGUUUGGUUUCAAUGAGAAGUAGCUGGCAGACAGUGUUCUGGUGUAUUGCGUCUUGCACAAGCAUUUCGCUAUACUCGCAAUAACAUCUGCUAAUCACGUGUACCAAUAAAAAUUGAUUUGAUAUGACACCAAGUGAUGGGCAAAAGCUUUCAAGCGUUCUAUUUCUCUGCUCAUGCAUCCAAGUCGUGUUGGGUCCCUUCUCUAGGUCUCUCUACUUCACCCCUCCCACCACUCCUCUCCCAUCUCAACCACACUAUAGCCUACCCAUAUAUCUGUCUCUUGCUUAUGUCUAGCGAAUGAUUCAGAAAAAGAUCAUGGGCGUAACUAAAAAGGGAAAAGGACCAUUCACGCAGAGUUGGAACAAUAGACAGCAACUCACAAUGGACAAUGCAUAGAGGAGCAGAACUGUUUGGGUUUCUGGACACGUCCACACCGGCGGGCCUGUGACGGGGACCAAUGACAGAUAUGUGCAGCUUCCCUCCGAAGCGGUGAGAAAAUGUGGUGCGGGACUGACUGGCAGACUGAUUACUUGCACAUAUCUGAGAGUCGUCUCUGCUAGUUGGCUUGUCUCAGGCCCCUCAAGCAAAAGUAAAGUCAGUGUUUGGCAUAAACUGCUCGGUGGUGGAUUGACUCAUUGUAUAGCUAAAGUGCAUCCAGAUAGCGCCGGGUUUUUUUCUCUCUGGAAUUGGUUCAAUAUCGUAUAGCUGCAGCAAACUACACUGCUGCUGCAGAGCUCGAGUUUUUCUAUAACUGAAAUUCAGUCUGGACAUCAGUAAGGCCUAUUUAAUUGGAUUACCCCAAGUUCACGGCAACAGGUGCUGAAAUCAGAGAGAGACUUUCAUCCAUAAGCAACUGCCUUAAGGAGGAGGAGAAACAGAGAGAAAGAAGAGUCGGAAGAGAAGGAGAGUGGGAGUGGGUGGAAGGAGAGGAAAGAAUGGAGCAGUGAGUGGUGAACCAGGGAGCAGGUGAACCCAGUAGUGGAUGGCCAUAGGCUCUCUGGCUCUUCUCUGCUCCGUGCAGGGGUCUCAGGGAGCCGGCUGGGGCCAGCCAGGCAACGGCGGAGUGGGCAGGCGAGUCGAGGCGAGGGGAGGCAAGGCAGGCUCUCAUCCCCGCUGGCAAGUUGCUCCUCGGCAGUGCGGAGUAGCAAAUCAAUAUGGAGGAGAGAGGCUAGCAGGGGUUGCCCAGCACUGCCCCUGGCCCUAGAGCCCAGGGACCCAGCGCUGCCAGCCCUCUCUUUCCUCUCCCAGUCCCAGCCAACCCGCACUGUGUGUGUGUGUGUAUUUGAGUGAGUAUGUGUAUAUGUGGGUGUAUGUGUGUGUCUAUUUGAGUGUG